rnacentral:tRNA from 2 species
GGGCCUGUGGCGGAAUGGUAGACGCUGCGGACUUAAAAUCCGUUGGGAGUAAUCCCGUGGGGGUUCAAGUCCCCCCAGGCCCACCA